AAGUCGUAACAAGGUCUCCGUUGGUGAACCAGCGGAGGGAUCAUUACAGAGUUGCAAAACUCCCAAACCAUCGUGAACGCUACCUAUAUCGUUGCUUCGGCGGGCGGCGCGCCCGCGCCCCUCAGCCCCCCCCGGGGGCCCGCCGGAGACCCAAUAAACUCUUGAAUUUUCGUGGCCUCUCUGAGUCUUUUGUACUGAAUAAGUCAAAACUUUCAACAACGGAUCUCUUGGUUCUG
rnacentral:misc_RNA from 1 species